UACGUAGGGGGCUAGCGUUGUCCGGAAUCAUUGGGCGUAAAGAGCGUGUAGGCGGCCCGGUAAGUCCGCUGUGAAAGUCGGGGGCUCAACCCUCGAAUGCCGGUGGAUACUGUCGGGCUAGAGUGCGGUAGGGGAGACUGGAAUUCCUGGUGUAGCGGUGGAAUGCGCAGAUAUCAGGAGGAACACCGGUGGCGAAGGCGGGUCUCUGGGCCGUUACUGACGCUGAGGAGCGAAAGCAUGGGGAGCGAACAGG
rnacentral:rRNA from 1 species